AGCGUAGACGGACUGGCAAGUCUGAUGUGAAAGGCGGGGGGCUCAACCCCUGGACUGCAUUGGAAACUGUUAGUCUUGAGUGCCGGAGAGGUAAGCGGAAUUCCUAGUGUAGCGGUGAAAUGCGUAGAUAUUAGGAGGAACAUCAGUGGCGAAGGCGGCUUACUGGACGGUAACUGACGUUGAGGCUCGAAAGCGUGGGGAGCAAACA
rnacentral:rRNA from 1 species